CUAGUAACGAGGGUUCAAAUUAUAGCUCCAGAUUGAACGCUGGCCGGAGCUCAUGCAAGUCGAACGGCCUUUACGGACUUCGGUCACGGUGGCGAAGUGGCGAACGGGUGAGUAAUAUCCAGGAACGUGCCUAGUAGCAGGGGGAUAACUUCACGAAAGCGUAGCUAAUGCACCGCAUGCGCCCUUCGAGGAAAAGCGGGGACCUUCAGGCCUCGCACUAUUAGAGCGGCCGACCUCGGAUUAGCUGAAUUGGUGAAAUGGCUGGCUCCGCAGAGCGGGCGAUCCAUGGCUGGUUGAGGCAGGACGACCAGCCACACUGGGACUGAGACACAGCCCAGACUCCUGAGAGGCAGCAGUGAAAUUUUGGACAAUGGGGAAACCCACAGUCCAGCCAUCCCGCGUGUGCGAUGAAGGCCUUGGGUUGUAAAGCACUUUUGGCAGGAAAGAAACGGCACGGGAUAAUACCCCGUGCAACUGACAAUACACAGAAUAAGCACCGGCUAACUACGUGCCCAGCGGCGCGGUAAUACGUAGGGUGCAAGCGUUAAUCGGAAUUACUGGGCGUAAGGCGUGCGCAGGCGGUUCGGAAAGAAGAUGUGAAAUCCAGAGCUUAACUUUGGAACUGCAUUUUUAACUACCGAAGAGCUAGGGGAGUGUCCAGAGGGAGGUGGAAUUCCGCGUGUAGCAGUGAAAUGCGUAGAUAUGCGGAGGAACACCGAUGGCGAAGGCAACCUCCUGGGGGGAUAACACUGACGCUCAUGCACGAAAGCGUGGGAGCAAACAGGAUUAGAUACCCUGGUAGUCCACGCCUAAACGAUGUCAAUAGCUGUUGGGGCCUUCGGGCCUUGGUGGCGCAGCUAACGCGUGAAGUUGACCGCCUGGGAAAUACGGUCGCAAGAUUAAAACUCAAAGGAAUUGACGGGGACCCGCACAAGCGGUGGAUGAUGUGGAUUAAUUCGAUGCAACGCGAAAAAAACCUUACCUACCCUUGACAUGUCUGGAAUCCCGAAGAGAUUUGGGAGUGCUCGCAAGAGAACCGGAACACAGGUGCUGCAUGGCUGUCGUCAGCUCGUGUCGUGAGAUGUUGGGUUAAGUCCGCAACGAGCAACCCUUGUCAUUAGUUGCUACGAAAGGCACUCUAAUGAGACUGCCGGUAUGGAAACCGGAGGAAGGUGGGGAUGACGUCGAAAUCCUCAUGGCCCUUAUGGGCAGGGCUUCACACGUCAUACAAUGGUCGGGACAGGGUCGUAACCCGCGAAGGGGAGCCAAUCCCCAGAAACCCGAUCGUAGUCCGGAUCGCAGUCUGCAACUCGACUGCGUGAAAUCGGAAUCGCUAGUAAUCGCGGAUCAGCAUGUCGCGGUGAAUACGUUCCAGGUCUUGUACACACCGCCGUCACACCAUGGGAAUUAGGUUUUUACCAGAAAUGAAUUAGCCUAACCGUAAGGAGGCGAUUACCACAGUAAGUUCAUGACUGGGGUAGUCGUAACAAGGUAA
rnacentral:rRNA from 1 species